rnacentral:rRNA from 1 species
AGUGAGCGCUGGCGGUAGGCCUAACACAUGCAAGUCGAACGGCAGCACAGUAAGAGCUUGCUCUUACGGGUGGCGAGUGGCGGACGCGUGAGGAAUACAUCGGAAUCUACUUUUUCGUGGGGGAUAACGUAGGGAAACUUACGCUAAUACCGCAUACGACCUACGGGUGAAAGCAGGGGAUCUUCGGACCUUGCGCGAUUGAAUGAGCCGAUGUCGGAUUAGCUAGUUGGCGGGGUAAAGGCCCACCAAGGCGACGAUCCGUAGCUGGUCUGAGAGGAUGAUCAGCCACACUGGAACUGAGACACGGUCCAGACUCCUACGGGAGGCAGCAGUGGGGAAUAUUGGACAAUGGGCGCAAGCCUGAUCCAGCCAUACCGCGUGGGUGAAGAAGGCCUUCGGGUUGUAAAGCCCUUUUGUUGGGAAAGAAAAGCAGCAGGUUAAUACCCCGCUGUUCUGACGGUACCCAAAGAAUAAGCACCGGCUAACUUCGU